AUUGAACGCUGGCGGCAUGCUUUACACAUGCAAGUCGAACGGUAACAGGGAGCUUGCGCCGCUGACGAGUGGCGAACGGGUGAGUAAUGCGUCGGAACGUGCCGAGUAGUGGGGGAUAACGCAUCGAAAGGUGUGCUAAUACCGCAUACGAACUGAGGUUGAAAGUGGGGGACCUUCUGGCCUCACGCUAUUCGAGCGGCCGACGGCUGAUUAGCUAGUUGGGGAGGUAAAGGCUCACCAAGGCGACGAGCAGUAGCGGGUCUGAGAGGAUGAUCCGCCACACUGGGACUGAGACACGGCCCAGACUCCUACGGGAGGCAGCAGUGGGGAAUUUUGGACAAUGGGCGCAAGCCUGAUCCAGCCAUGCCGCGUGUCUGAAGAAGGCCUUCGGGUUGUAAAGGACUUUUGUCCGGGAGCAAAUGCUGGUGGCUAACAUCCACCGGAGCUGAGAGUACCGGAAGAAUAAGCACCGGCUAACUACGUGCCAGCCGCCGCCGUAAAAC
rnacentral:rRNA from 1 species